CCGAGCAGCGGCCUACGGGCCCUGCCGUGUGCGUGGAUGCGGGGCAGCGGGCUCUGCGCCGAUGAGCCACGCGGGCCAAGGCUCGGGGCUCGGAUCUCGGAUCUCUCGGGGUCCUCAGCCCCGGGAGCCAGCUCUGGGCUCGGCUCGGAAGCUCUGCUCAUCCUGGGCGAGCUUCCUGCAACAGUGGCCACCCGAGGCUGGUGGCGCGCACGCAGGCCUUUAAAAUGUGGUGUAGACCCUCAGCAUGCUUCAGAGGCCGGAGAUUGGCAGAAAUGCUGCAGGCUGAGUUUAAAGCUUCCAUUCCCUUGUUAAACACGGGCUUUUCCGACCACGUGACUUCGGAAGUCCGUGAUUUAUAUUUACAGCAGUGAGCCUCGCUUGGUGUUUGUGAUUUGUUUUGGAAUUGCAGUCCUUUCCCACUCCCUUGCGCAGAAUAUUUUUUUUACACAGUUGUGUAUGAAAUUGGUGGAGACAGUGUGCUCAAGACUAGCUACUAAUAGGUCACUUACAUAAAACCAGGAAGGAACUCCAGAAAAGCCUAAAGCAUGUGACUUGAUAGACUUUCUGCAGGUAUUUCUAAAGGUUUUCGGUGAAGGACAUACUUCUCUUAUCUGGUGUUAAACUUUUUAAAAUCUUUGACAGAGAUGGUUCAAUAAAAAAAAAUGGCUUGUUUUCUUUUAUUCAGUCGUGUACCUCAAAUUUGAUUGUUUGUCUCUGAAGCCUGAAGAGAAGAUGAAACUGGCAUCUCAUUCAAAUGACUUGACUUUCUAUCUGCAGUUAGUCCUCACUGGUAAACGAAGUCACUCUUCUUUAAAACAGAGCAG
rnacentral:lncRNA from 1 species